rnacentral:rRNA from 1 species
UACGUAGGGGGCUAGCGUUAUCCGGAAUUACUGGGCGUAAGGGUGCGUAGGUGGUUUCUUAAGUCAGAGGUGAAAGGCUACGGCUCAACCGUAGUAAGCCUUUGAAACUGGGGAACUUGAGUGCAGGAGAGGAGAGUGGAAUUCCUAGUGUAGCGGUGAAAUGCGUAGAUAUUAGGAGGAACACCAGUUGCGAAAGCGGCUCUCUGGUCUGUAACUGACGCUGAGGUUCGAAAGCGUGGGUAGCAAACAGG